UACGAGUGGUGCAAGCAUUAUUCGGAAUCAUUGGGCGUAAAGGGUGCGUAGGUGGCAUAUUAAGUCUACUGUUAAAUAUCUCGGCCUAACCGAGAGACUGCGGUGGAGACUGGUAAGCUAGAGGAUGGGAGAGAGAAGUGGAAUUCUCGGAGUAGCGGUAAAAUGCGUAGAUCUCGAGAGGAACACCGAUGGCGAAAGCAGCUUCUUGGACCAAUCCUGACACUGAUGCACGAAAGCGUGGGGAGCAAACAGG
rnacentral:rRNA from 2 species